UACGAAGGGGGCUAGCGUUGUUCGGAAUUACUGGGCGUAAAGCGUGUGUAGGCGGCUUCGAUAGUUAGGCGUGAAAGCCCCGGGCUUAACCCGGGAACUGCGCUUAAUACUGUGAAGCUUGAAGAUGGUAGAGGACAGUGGAAUUCCCAGUGUAGAGGUGAAAUUCGUAGAUAUUGGGAAGAACAUCGAUGGCGAAGGCAACUGUCUGGGCCAUUCUUGACGCUGAAACACGAAAGCGUGGGGAGCAAACAGG
rnacentral:rRNA from 1 species